rnacentral:rRNA from 1 species
GACGAACGCUGGCGGCGUGCUUAACACAUGCAAGUCGAACGGUGAAGCGCCUUCCUUUUUGGUGGGUGUGGAUGAGUGGCGAACGGGUGAGUAACACGUGAGUAACCUGCCCCCUUCUUCUGGAUAACCGCAUGAAAGUGUGGCUAAUACGGGAUAUUCUGGGUCUGUCGCAUGAUGGGUCUGGGAAAGAUAUUGUUUCGGUGGGGGAUGGGCUCGCGGCCUAUCAGCUUGUUGGUGGGGUGAUGGCCUACCAAGGCGGUGACGGGUAGCCGGCCUGAGAGGGUCGACGGUCACACUGGGGCUGAGACACGGCCCAGACUCCUACGGGAGGCAGCAGUGGGGAAUAUUGCACAAUGGGCGCAAGCCUGAUGCAGCGACGCCGCGUGAGGGAUGGAGGCCUUCGGGUUGUGAACCUCUUUCGCCAGUGAAGCAGGCCUGCCUCGUUUGUGGGUGGGUUGACGGUAGCUGGAUAAGAAGCGCCGGCUAACUACGUG